GGAGGUGUCUGCGUCCUGGUGGGCGCCGCGGUCUUCAAAACCGACGAGGGCGACACAGUCGGUCUGGCGGGUUCGAUUCCCGUCCACCUCCG
rnacentral:tRNA from 1 species